UCUCAAUCUCAAGCAAGAAAAUGGCGGAAUGUGUUCAAACUCUUCACCUCUCUAGAAGCCACGCAAGUUGAUCGAUCGAUUCAUUGAACUUUCCGUUCGUCUCCUACAUGUAUCAAUUACUACGGCAGAUGCUCUGCGCGUUUUCAAUCUAGCAGAAGAUUAGAUGGCGACCAGUGUGAGUAUUUCGAAAACCCUUUUCAUUCUCAUCUGUGCUCUGUCUGUAUGGCUCCUUUUCGAAGGACAAAUUGUUUCAGCUCAGUGCGGAGACCUUCCUGAGGAAGAGAAGAGUGCGUUUCGUGAGAUAGUUGAUCAGUUGGGGAGAAAGGAAUGGGGAUUGAAAAAUCCCUGCGAUGAUAGCUCGUGGAGCUUUUCGAAAACGAGAAUGUACAAUACCACCAUUGUAUGCAACUGUUCAAUACCUAAUGGAACUUAUUACAUCCAAAGCAUAAAUUUUAAAGGUCAGGAUUUACCCGGUGUGCUUCCUCCUUCCCUGUCAAAGUUGCGUCAGCUGGAGGGAAUAGAUCUUAAUAGAAACUUUCUUAGUGGUACUAUACCCCCGGAAUGGGCAUCUACUAAGCUGAAAUCCAUAAGUGUUAGUGUCAAUCGCUUAUCUGGACCCAUACCAAGAUACCUUGGAAACAUUACUACUCUUACAUAUUUGAGUUUAGAGACCAACCUUUUUAGUGGGUCAGUUCCACCAGAGCUAGGGAAUCUUGUUAACCUGGAGAGACUUGUGCUGAGUGCGAAUUUCCUCACUGGGAAGCUACCAGUGGAGUUAGCUAAACUGAAGAAUUUGAUAGAAUUUAGGAUAAGUAGCAACAAUUUCGCAGGAAAACUCCCCGAUUUCCUCAACUGGACGAAUCUCCAAUAUCUAGAAAUAGAGGCAGGUGGAUUUUCAGGACCCAUUCCUCCUACUAUUUCAAAUUUGAUAAAUCUAACAGAAUUAAAGAUCAGUCACUUGAGCGGUGGUGCUUCGAAGUUUCCACGAUUAGAACGCCUAAGUAACUUAACAAAAUUGAUGCUACAGAGUUGUAAUAUAUUUGGGAAUAUCCCACCGUUUGGAGAUCUGUCACGCUUGAAGAUUCUGGAUUUGAGCUUCAACAAUUUGGAGGGACCGAUACCAAAUCUUGAAGGCUUGGGUCAACUGGAGAUUGUGUUCUUGACCGGUAACUCACUUUCUGGGUCGAUUCCAGAAUGGAUCAUAAAAAGAGACCCUAAACAGCAAAUUGACCUAUCCUACAAUAACUUCAACGAGGAUACAAUGCCUCAAGAAUGCCGGGAUAAUUCCUUAAACUUGUAUAGAAGCUACCAAGGAAGAAACGCAUUAGAAUUUGUCAAAUGUUUGUCGCCUUGUCCGAAGGAUUGGUAUUCCUUUCAUGUAAAUUGCGGUGGAAAUACAACAAGGAUCAAUGGAACUACUUUUGAUGACGAUAAAGAGCCACUCGGUCCCGUAAAAUUUGUUCAUUUAAAGGAACAAUGGGGGAUCAGCAUAACAGGAGACUUUUGGUAUCGGCCAGAUAGACGGCCAGAAUACUAUUUACCAAGCAAUGUUUCUGCUCUCCGAAUGAAGGACUCAGAAUUAUAUGAGACUGCCCGUCAAUUUCCUCUAUCAGCCACAUAUUAUGGGCGUUGCUUAGCAAAUGGAAACUACACAGUAACACUUCAUUUUGCGGAGAUAGUUUUCCAGGAAAACCAGUCUUACUGGAGCCUUGGAAGACGAAUAUUUGAUGUGUACAUACAGGGUAAACUAAAGCUUAAGGAUUUCGAUAUUAAGCAUGAUGCAGGAGGAGCUGGCAUAGCUGUUCUAAAAACCUUUAAAAAUGUACCUGUAAUGAAUAAUAGUUUAGAGAUUCGGUUUCACUAUACUGGAAAGGGAACAACUGCUAUACCGACUCGUGGAGUAUAUGGUCCUUUGGUGUCUGCUAUUUCUGUGAAAUCUGAAUUCAAGCCUCCACUUAGCCGCAGAGCCAAGAUUUUCAUUGCAUUGGGAGCAUCUCUUUUCGCUUUAUUACUCAUAGUUGUAGCUCUGCUUUUUUCCUGGUGGAAAGGCUACAUUGGAGGCAGGAUCUCGAGGGAGGAAGCUCUGAGAGGAUUAAAUUUGCACACUGGCUUUUUUACAUUUAAGCAAAUCCAAGCUGCCACAGAAAAUUUCAAUGCUGCAAAUAAGCUCGGGGAAGGAGGUUUCGGAGCUGUCUACAAGGGUACACUAUUGGAUGGCACGUUAAUUGCUGUUAAGCAGCUAUCUUCGAAAUCAAGGCAGGGAAACCGGGAGUUCGUUAACGAAAUAGGUGUCAUUUCUGGCUUACAACAUCCAAAUCUCGUUAAGCUUUACGGGUGCUGUGUUGAAGGAAGCCAUUUGCUGCUUGUUUACGAGUUCAUGGAGAACAACAGCCUCGCCCGAGCUCUAUUCGGACCAGAAGAGCACCAGUUGGAAAUCGAUUGGCCAACCAGGGGAAAGAUAUGUCUUGGAAUUGCGAAUGGCUUAGUUUAUCUGCAUGAAGAGUCAGCUUUAAAAAUCGUCCAUAGGGACAUCAAAGCAAACAACAUUCUACUUGAUAAAGAUCUUAAUCCGAAAAUAUCUGAUUUUGGUUUAGCCAAACUUGACGAAGAGGAGCACACUCACAUCACAACUCGAGUUGCUGGAACUAUUGGAUAUAUGGCUCCUGAGUAUGCACUAUGGGGCUACUUAACUUACAAAGCAGACGUCUUCAGCUUUGGGGUGGUCAUAUUAGAAAUUGUUGCCGGAAAGAACAACAUGAGGUAUCGUCCCAAUGAAAACUGUGUUUGUCUCCUUGAUUGGGCUCUUAUCCUCCAGAAACAACGAAGGCUGAUGGAGCUGGUCGAUCCAAGACUUGGAUCCGAAUUUGAUCGAAAUGAAGCAGAAAAGAUAAUCAGAAUCGCUCUCCUGUGCACGAGCCCGUCGCCAGCUCUCCGGCCAACUAUGUCGGAGGUGGUCGGCAUGCUCCAAGGACAAAUCAGCAUUCAAGAGUUUAAUAUGGAUCCUGAUGUUUACGACUCCGAACUGAAGCUUCAGGCGCUGAGGGAAAAGUAUGAGGACUCUUACGUGGACUCGAGUAGCACCCAUGGCGGCACGACUAGUUCAUCUAUGUCGAAAGAUAGCAGUGCGAUUCGACGGCGUACUUAACGUAGGAACAAGAGGGGAUAUAGUUGCUCAUGUUGCUCCGGUUGCUAUAGGAGAAGUUGCGCCUACUGUUAAAGCUGUUGAAUCAUAUAUUGAAAGAUUGGAGGAUUGGAAUAGUAAGGACAAUCAGAUUCUUAUCUGGUUGCGCAAUAUUUCCACUCCGACGAUACAUGUGUAACUUGCUUAAGUUGAAACUACUAAGGCAGCGUGGGAUUUCUUGGCAGUCCGCUUCCGUGCUACUGGUUUGGCGCACUAUUAUCAGCUAUGAAGUACACUUCAUGAUCUGAAACAGGAACUAGGACAAUCUGUCAACGACUUUCUUACGCAAGUGCAACCCCUUUGGCAUCAGUUGGAUCAAACUGAGAUCUGUCUUGAUCAUCUUUGCCUCAUUCAAGUUUUGAUGGCUUUGUGUACAAAGUAUGAGGCACUUCAUGCCUCCUUGUUACAUCGGCACUCACUUCCUACAUUGGAUGCAGCUAUUCAGGAGAUUCUUUUAGAGGAAACACGUCUCCACUUAGCCAAGGCUCUUCCACUUGAUUAUGCUCUUGCGGUCAUUGCCCGACCACCUACUCAGAGUCGUCAACUCUGCUGUAAACGAUGUCAGUCUUCUGAUCACGACUUCGGUCAGUCAUUACUGUCACGUUUUAGGCCAUACUAUAAAGUAUUGCUCUAAUAGGCCGUCUCGCUCUGGCAGCAGCAACUUCAAGCCUCGGCAUGUUCGUGGACCUCUUCAGUCUAGUACCUCAUUUGUCACAGCCUCUGCCACGCCUGCGCCUCCUACGACUCAAGACUUGGAGGCUCCUUAAACAGGUUCCAUCUUCCAAUACCGCCAUGUCUACCACAUCAGGUUCAGGAUGCGCAAACCGGAAGGACGCUCGAGAAGGGCCGGAAAACGGGCCGCUUAUUUGAGCUUGAGUCACUUCAGCUCAUUCGUCUCUCUAUUUCUGUUGCCCCACCACCUCUACAUCAUCAUGCCUUCAGUGGCAUCAUCGUUUCAGUCAUGCGUCCACAAAUAAACUCAGUUUCAUAAUUUCUUUUUAUGAGCAAUGAAAUAUAGAAGAUUUGGAUGAGCUUGAUUCGUUAAGUCAAAAUCAAUGCCCCAAGGCUCCCAACAAUGUAGAAGAUGUAAGUGGAAAACGAAAAGCUCCUCAAAUUCAAGCCUUAAGA